AUGAGUGGUGGCUCCCUCUACGUCUCUCUCUCUCUGAUCUCUGAUCUGUUUUGUGUUUGUUUUGUUUGGGAAUGGGGUGUGGUGUGGAAGUGAGGAAGCGUGAUUAUGUGAAAGUAGUCGAGUCGAGUAUGUCCAAGUCUAUCUGGUGGGCCCAGGGAGAUCUGAAGAAUAACCAAUGUAACAGUGACACGUGGAGAGGCUUAGCCGAAUAUAGACCCUACAAUAAAUUUAGGGGUGGGGAAGCAACUGUACGUAGGAGAAAGAGGGUUUUGGGUUCGG
rnacentral:lncRNA from 1 species